rnacentral:misc_RNA from 1 species
GUUCUUCAAAUUUUCUAGAAAAUCCUCCGGUAAGUGAUGCAUCUUUUCCGCAAUUACCUCAAUUCUAUCUCUUGCUAUGUCACGAAGGGAGAUUUUAUCAGCACUAGAAAGACGAUGAAUGACUGACUGUUCCACAAAGUCAUUAUCUGCCUUUCCAUUUUCCAUCUUCUUUCCCAUCACUCCAUCACCAAUAGGCCAAGUUUCCUGAGAACUGGCACUCUCAGCAGGAGACUCCUGAAUUUGGUCAGAAUUAGAUCUGGGUACCUCAGGCGAAUGUCGAGGGUCUGAGGAAACUAAUGAAAGGGAGGUCUGAAGUUCCUCGGGUCGUGGCUGUUGACGUAUGGGAACCAUCUUUGAUGCAGGCUGGUGAUGAAUGUUAGAACCAGAUGACACACCCAUUAAUCUUACCACCAAACGAAUUCGAGAUUCUUAGCCGAUAAAAGCCGC